AUAAAUAUCAAUCAAUAGGGCCUAUGGUAGGCAGAAUAAUGCGCCCCCCCCAGAUGUCCACAUCCUGAUCCCCAGAAUCUUUGACUGUGUUACAUGGCAAGAGGGAAUCAAAGUUGCAGAUGGAAUUAAGGUUGUUAACCAACUGACCUUGAGAUGGAGAGAGGAUCCUGAUUAUCCAGGUGGGCCCAAUAUAAUCAUGAGGGUCCUUAAAAGUGGAAGAGGGCUGCAGGAGAGUCGGUGUCGGAGGGAUGUGGCAUGCAAAAGACUAUCUACCAUGGCUGGCUCUAAAGAUGGAAGGAGGCCGUGAGCCAACGGAUGCAGCAUUUCCUAGAAGGUGGAAAAGCCCUGGACUGAGCAGAGGGGAAGCUGGAAUUUAGAUACCAUUUGUGUUCCAGUGGCACAAUCUACAUGAGGAACCUGCAGUUUAUCCUCAUUCUUCACCUUAUAUUUUCUAAUAUGAAGCAGUCCUAAUUCUUUGAGCCAGGGAGAUCCCUUGUUGGGACGUGCCGAGGUGGUCCUGUGACAGGAAAAGAUGCCGCAAUGGACCGAUCCCGGCUUCAUGGGGAAGACUUAUUCCACUAGGACAGGAGCCUGGGGCUGGAUUCUUCUCUAGCCAUGGCCCACCUGGCACUGUGCUAAGCAUUAGGGGGCAAUGGCUGAGCAUGUGAGUGUGAUCUAAAAGAGAAGUGUCUUCAGAGCUCAGGGGGACGCUGAGGGGGUGAUGGGAUGAAAAGAGCUGAAUCAAUAGGAGUAUUGUAGCAAUCACGAACAAAUCUCCUGACAUCAGAAUGUGCAGGACCCACCUGUAACUUCAUGUGGCGUAGACCCAAAGCGCAGCAUUAGUGGACUGGUCACAAUUCCCAGUUUUCUCUCUCUUCUGGCUUUUUGCAGCAGGACCAGCUUUGAACUAAGCCCCUAGUGUUCCUGCCUAAGUUGGGUGGUUGGGGAGGAGUUGGGAAAUAAGUGGACUUCCUGUCACUGAAGGCAGGUGGGUGCUCAAACAACAAAUUGAAUAAAUAAAAGUGA
rnacentral:lncRNA from 1 species